rnacentral:rRNA from 2 species
AAAUUGAAGAGUUUGAUCAUGGCUCAGAUUGAACGCUGGCGGUAGGCCUAACACAUGCAAGUCGAACGGUAACAGGAAGCAGCUUGCUGCUUUGCUGACGAGUGGCGGACGGGUGAGUAAUGUCUGGGAAACUGCCUGAUGGAGGGGGAUAACUACUGGAAACGGUGGCUAAUACCGCAUAACGUCGCAAGACCAAAGAGGGGGACCUUCGGGCCUCUUGCCAUCAGAUGUGCCCAGAUGGGAUUAGCUAGUUGGUGAGGUAACGGCUCACCAAGGCGACGAUCCCUAGCUGGUCUGAGAGGAUGACCAGCCACACUGGAACUGAGACACGGUCCAGACUCCUACGGGAGGCAGCAGUGGGGAAUAUUGCACAAUGGGCGCAAGCCUGAUGCAGCCAUGCCGCGUGUAUGAAGAAGGCCUUCGGGUUGUAAAGUACUUUCAGCGGGGAGGAAGGUGUUGUGGUUAAUAACC